rnacentral:rRNA from 1 species
UGCGUAGGCGGAUAAAUAAGUCAGUGGUGAAAUCUUUCGGCUCAACCGGGAAACUGCCAUUGAUACUGUUUAUCUUGAGUUCGGUAGAGGUAGGCGGAAUGUGUAAUGUAGCGGGGAAAUGCUUAGAUAUUACACAGAACACCAAUUGCGUAGGCAGCUUACUAUGCCGAGACUGACGCUGAGGCACGAAAGCGUGGGGAGCGAACAGGAUUAGAUACCCUGGUAGUCC